rnacentral:rRNA from 1 species
UACGGAGGGUGCAAGCGUUGUCCGGAUUUAUUGGGUUUAAAGGGUGCGUAGGCGGUUCGUUAAGUCCGGGGUGAAAGCCCACUGCUCAACAGUGGAACUGCCCUGGAAACUGGUUGGCUUGAGUACAGACGAGGGUGGCGGAAUGGAUGGUGUAGCGGUGAAAUGCAUAGAUACCAUCCAGAACCCCGAUUGCGAAGGCAGCUGCCUAGACUGUAACUGACGCUGAGGCACGAAAGCGUGGGGAGCGAACAGG